rnacentral:tRNA from 1 species
AAGGGUUAAAGAAAAUGAAGGCAGCUGCUAACUGACUCCAAAGCGGUUUAAUUCCGUUUGUCCCUUA